GGCUGGGGCGCGCUCACUCACGUCCGGCCGUGUUAAAGCGCGACCGAUCGGGGGCGCUCGACGGCCUCGUGCCGGGGAAGGGCGGAGGCGGGACCGGUGCGGGCGUGGCGCCCCCUGCUGGCUCCGGACCGCGCGCUCCCCUCCCGUGAGGGCGGAGUUGCGGCAAUACCGGGUGCUCGGGCCGCCGGCGGCUCGGCCGGGGCCCGCUCCGGACACCGGCCCAGUUCUGCAGUGAGGAGCGGGGCCGCGCUGGGGCCGAGAGCGGCCGUGGCUCCCCGUGAGGGCGCGCGGGGCUCCUGAGGGAGCGGCGGGGCGGGAAGGCCGCGAGCACGGGGGGCGCCCCCUGCCGCUGUCCCGGGCAGCCCCGCCAGCAUCGCUGGGUCAAGGUCACGGCGCGUCCUCGGGCCGGGCCGGGGCCUCGGGAGGCCCGGGGAACACCGACCGCGACAUCCACACCGAGGGAUUCUGCCCUGCAGCCCUCUCUAAAAGGGAGCUAUUCCUGCUUUUCCUGCUGCCCUCAUAGGCUUUUCCUUGGCCAUCGUGUUUGCUCCUCUGCUGUGCCUGAGGAACUCUGCCUUUUCUUGUUAAGGCUUUUUUUCCUUCUGUAAAGAAGGGAAAUUUAUGAUCAUAGCUUUUUUUUAGUAACAGUGAAUUUCAUAAUUUAGAACCACUUAAUCCGUUCAACAUGUUUACAUUAUUGGCGGUCGAUGUGUUGCCAACCAUUUGCUUGUUUUUCCAUUAUUUUUACUGGUUUUUCUGGUAAAACUGCAAGCAAAUCUUAGUUGAUUUCUCUUGCAGUUGUUUUAACUUCCAAACAGAACACAUACUUUGGUCUCUUGGCUUUUCUUCUUAUUUUAAGGACAACAGACACUUAGUUGAAAAUAUUUUUUUAUUUUCAAUAUUAAGUGUGGAAACCUUGAGUGUCUGGGAGCAAGGUGGUGUCCCAUGCCCUGGCACAAACGUUCCUGUCCUGGGGGAUGAUUCUCUGAGUCAUGCAGAGGAAAAGAAGCGUUCUGAUGUAAAAGACAACAGGAAGGCGUUGAGCACGCCGUGUGCCAGCAGGACACCUGCAGAGCUGCCGCAGGGUGGAAGUGAGCCACAGGCUGCAUGGGGAGUGCUGAGAAAACUGCACGGCUGCACAAAUCUGACGCCAGAGCAGGGCUCUAUUUUUGGUCUCCUCUCUGCGUUUCUGACACCUGUAGGGACGCGUGAAGUGCACGGGAGACUUGUGCAGCACCUCCCGGAGCGGAGGAGCCGCCGCAGGGCAUGGGAGCGCAGCGGAGCGUUCUUGCUUAGCCAACAGGACUAA
rnacentral:lncRNA from 1 species